UUUAAUAGAGGUCACCAUCUGAAAACAUUGCUGUGCUCUUUUGGGCUGCCACACUCCAGGAAAGAGGAGCUGGGAAGCUGGACGUCAGCUGUGGGAAGCUCUGGGGCCUGGAGGCCAUUUUGGUUCUGCAGAGAGCCACCAUGUGCACAGGGAAGUGUUCGAGGUGCAUUGGGAUCACCCUGUUCCCGCUGGCUGCGUGUGCUAUGGUCUCCAACAUCCUCCUGUUCUUCCCCAAUGGACAAGUUCUGCAGCUCAGUGAGAUAACCGAUCUGGUCUGGUUUUUCCAAGGCAUUCUGGGAGCUGGAAUACUGGUAAGAGAGAAGAGUUUCUUCUGUUUGUUUUCUAGAACUUCUGCUAAUGUAACAAAAAUCAUGUUAAUUCCUUUUCAGAAGCAUCCGAGUAGGUUAACUGGGAAGGUAGAGUGCAGAGAUGAGAAAGUGCAUUCAAGACUAAAAAAGUCCCAGUUUCUGAAAUACAGUCUAUUUCUGAAAUAAACAUCAGCUUCUCCAGAUCAUGAGUAAGACUGCCUUUCCACUGUGAACAACAGUGAUGUGGGUGAUCAUGUCUUUGCAGUCGAAGCAUAGAUGAGGUCCUAAACUAGCCAGAGGUGGUGAGCUUUCACCUUGGAUACAAUCCUUCCUUAUUCCUCUCACUGAUUUUAUUCUUACAGAACCUAUCUAAAAAUAUUAAGGGCAAAACUGAAAUGUGUUUUGAUAGGUGUUCAUUAGUGACCCAGCCACUACUGUGUGAAUGUGGAGCUGAAAAGGACUUGAACCCCAAAUGCCUCCCACACUCCUCCACACUCAGCUCCUCUUGGAUUUGGUCUGGUUUGUGCGUGCUGUUUUGUGACCAGUUCUCCAUUCCAAAACUCAGAAAAAAAUUGAAUAUCCGUAACCAGAAGGGAACAUAUUUGAGAAUAGUGAUAUUUCCAGUUCAUUAGAAGCCCACUCUGUGCAUGUUCUUUCAGUUAUCCACUCAGAUGCAGGCAAAAAGCUGAGCAAGUGACAUGCAUAUGACAAGCAGUGGAUGUCACACAGCCCAGGCAGAUGGCACACUGGUGCAGAGAUGGCUACCUGCACAUCAGAAAACCGAAUGUUUAGAAAUAAUUAGCUUAGAAAGAAGUAAAUCUUAUUCAGUUGGGCCAGCUAGCACUUAAGUCUAUAGAAAACUACAAUGGAUGUGGUUCAGACUUAUAUUUCUCCCUGCAGAAAUGUGGUAUAAGAUCAUUCAAUAAAUUGCUCCCCACCAGCAGCUUACCUGCUUCUUCUUCUAGCUGCCACUUGGGCAUAUUACUCACACGGAGCUUGAAUGUAAGCAAUGAGUGUGUGGAAGGAAGCUUAAAGGAAGAACUACAUGAGAGACUGAUGGAAAAUUGGUAUCACUGCAAGCCCAGGAGUCAUUGGCGUUCAAUGAAAGGAAAGGCAAAUGUCAAGCAUGAAAGAAUCACAAGCUCAUUCAAAAUAUGCCUUCUUUUAAGGCUGCCACAGAGGCUUUCCUGUGGUCAGCAAUGCAUACUUUAAAAAUGAGAACAGCAAAGGGAGAGGGAAGGAAGCAUUUGCAUUGGCCUUCACAACACAGACACCAGCAGUAGGAGUAAUUAUCAAUCCACAAAUAUUGCCAUUGAGUGUACAUGUUUUCCAGAAGACAGUAUGAGAAAUGCCCACAGGUGGAGUAGGGAAAGAUCAUCGGCUCCAUCUUUCAGGUGCUGGAAGCAUGGAAAAAUGGCAUCUGGCUCCUGGGCCGUAGGAGAAGUAAAGCAGAGUGCAAGAAUACACCAUGAGUGGAGCCCAGGCAAUAUCCUGACUCCACAAUAAGAAAGACUGGGCUGCAUAGCUCUCUGCCAUAAAAAUAUACUUGCCUCCAACUGGAAAAUCAACCCACUGAUGGACCUGAUGGAUACCCAGGUCUUCAGCACAUUCCUCAGCUGAGCAGCCAGUCUCGCUCUUUCUUUCUCCUACUGUUGCUUCUCUAAUGGGAAUUUACAUGACAUGAAAACCUUUCCAUUUACUUAUUUCCGAAGUUUAGGUUAUAAAGAAAUGAAGAUUCUCUCCACGUGCCAUAGUAACAUCCUUACUGAUGGGAAGCCUGUGUGAAGCACUGGGAAAUGCCUGUUUGAGUCAUGGCUCACUUGCAGUCCUCAUUUUACAGACAGCAGCCAAAUCUAGCAAAUUCUCAUUCCUGGAUCAAAAAGCAGGUGUUUAUAAUCAGAUAGUGAAAA